UUCAACUCACGCAUCAAAAUCAAAGAAUGGGGUGGGGGCUGUGUUCUGGAGUAAGAUUAUCUCACAGGACUUUCAAAAGAGCUGUGAGGUUUUCAUACUCUACUCGGUCACCACAGAUACCUCAUUAAAAAAGGGAAACACUUACCCUCAACACCUAACGCAGAGAAUCAGCGGUGAGGAGCCAGUAUGCUUCAUGGUUGUCAUACGCAUGGGUGCAAUGAGCCAGGAUGCAGGCUCACCAGAGUCUGCGGUGGUUCUCACUUGAACUUCUAGCUUCCAGACACGCUCUCAGUAUGAUGGUGUGGCUAACCUGGACUCUUCUAUGUAUGUAGACCAAACUGGUUUCCAACUCACAGAGACCCUUCCAGAAUCCUGGCCUUAAAGGUGAAUACCACCACCUUUGUGGAGAACAAAAAUUAGGCUACAAGGACAUAAUUCUGUACUAUGCAAGGUGGGCUUCGGUGGUGGUGCCCAACUAGAGCAACCGUGCAUGAUAUCCCUGAACAAACACGAUCACUAAAGAGAGGCUAACUUUUCCUGUGGCUUCGAGCCAAAGACUGAACAGUCUGCGCCACUGGAGGGGACGCUGUCCGUGCUGCUCCUGAUGACAUCCUAGACCAUUUGCAGUGACCAGUCAGAAGAUCUCCUAGAUGUGACAAAUGAAUGUUCACCAGCAGAAAGAGGGACCUCUCUUAGGCCAGAUGACGAAGCAGCAGUACCUCCCCAACCCUCAGGCUCUUUGGCGACUGCAGAGCCCGGACAUCAGGAAGACAAAAAAGGAAGACCAGCACUCUCAACUAACCCCGACCCCAGGUAGCUCCCAGAGACUGAGCCACCAACCAGGAGCAUACCCAGGCUGGUCGGAGGCCCCUGGCACUUCUAUAGCAGAGGUCUGCCUGGCGUGGCCUCAGUGGGAGAUGUGCUUAAUAAUCUUGAGGCUCCAGGGAAGGGGGGGAUCUGGUGGGAGGGAGCACCCUCUUCCAGGCAAGGAGGAGGAGGAAUGGGA